GAACACUGGCGGCGUGCCUAAUACAUGCAAGUCGAACGAGGUGCUUUUGUAGCAAUACGGAAGUAUCCUAGUGGCGAACGGGUGAGUAACGCGUUGGUGACCUGCCCCAAAGUGUGGAAUAACAGUUCGAAAGGACUGCUAAUACCGCAUGUGGUUAUUGGAUUUAGAAACUGAUAACUAAAGGAGUAAUCCGCUUUGGGAGGGACCUGCGUCCCAUCAGCUAGUUGGCGAGGUAAUGGCUCACCAAGGCUACGACGGGUAGGGGACCUGAGAGGGUGACCCCCCACAAUGGAACUGAAACACGGUCCAUACACCUACGGGUGGCAGCAGUAGGGAAUAUUGCACAAUGGGCGAAAGCCUGAUGCAGCAACGCCGCGUGCGCGAAGAAGGCCCUCGGGUCGUAAAGCGCUUUUCUGGGAGAUGAGCAAGGACAGUAUCUCAGGAAUAAGUCUCGGCUAACUACGUGCCAGCAGCCGCGGUAAAACGUAGGAGGCAAGCGUUAUCCGGAUUCACUGGGCGUAAAGCGCGUGCAGGCGGUUCGGUAAGUUGGGCGUGAAAUCUCUUGGCUUAACUAGGAGAGGUCGUUCAAUACUACCGGGCUAGAGAGUGGUAGAGGAAGAUGGAAUUCCCGGUGUAGUGGUGAAAUGCGUANAUAUCGGGAGGAACACCAGUGGCGAAAGCGAUCUUCUGG
rnacentral:rRNA from 1 species